CGCUAGCUACAGGCUUAACACAUGCAAGUCGCAGGGUAACAUGAGGAAAGCUUGCUUUCCUUGAUGACGACUGGCGCACGGGUGAGUAACGCGUAUCCAACCUUCCCAUAACUACGGGAUAACCCGUUGAAAGACGGCCUAAUACCGUAUGAUAUCGUUUGCUGACAUCAAAUAACGAUUAAAGGUUUAGCGGUUAUGGAUGGGGAUGCGUCUGAUUAGCUUGUUGGCGGGGUAACGGCCCACCAAGGCUACGAUCAGUAGGGGUUCUGAGAGGAAGGUCCCCCACAUUGGAACUGAGACACGGUCCAAACUCCUACGGGAGGCAGCAGUGAGGAAUAUUGGUCAAUGGGCGAGAGCCUGAACCAGCCAAGUAGCGUGCAGGAUGACGGCCCUAUGGGUUGUAAACUGCUUUUAUGUGGGGAUAAAGUGCGUGACGUGUCAUGCAUUGCAGGUACCACAUGAAUAAGGACCGGCUAAUUCCGUGCCAGCCGCCGCGGUAAAAGGG
rnacentral:rRNA from 1 species